rnacentral:rRNA from 1 species
AUUGAACGCUGGCGGCAGGCCUAACACAUGCAAGUCGAGCGGCAGCGGAAAGUAGCUUGCUACUUUGCCGGCGAGCGGCGGACGGGUGAGCAAUGUCUGGGAAACUGCCUGAUGGAGGGGGAUAACUACUGGAAACGGUAGCUAAUACCGCAUAACGUCGCAAGACCAAAGAGGGGGACCUUCGGGCCUCUUGCCAUCAGAUGUGCCCAGAUGGGAUUAGCUAGUAGGUGGGGUAAUGGCUCACCUAGGCGACGAUCCCUAGCUGGUCUGAGAGGAUGACCAGCCACACAGGAACUGAGACACGGUCCAGACUCCUACGGGAGGCAGCAGUGGGGAAUAUUGCACAAUGGGCGCAAGCCUGAUGCAGCCAUGCCGCGUGUAUGAAGAAGGCCUUCGGGUUGUAAAGUACUUUCAGCGGGGAGGAAGGUGUUGAGGUUAAUAACCUCAGCAAUUGACGUUACCCGCAGAAGAAGCACCGGCUAACUCCGUGCCAGCCGCCGCCGUAA